CUUGAAUAGAUAUAGCUUUUUCUAAUAUAUAAUAUUGGUCCUUUCAGAGCAAAAUGUUUAAAGGACCACUAUAGUGCCAGGAAAACAUACUCGUUUUCCUGGCACUAUAGUGCCCUGAGGGUGCCACCACCCUCAGGGUCCCCCUCCCGCCCGACUCUGGAAGGGGGAAAGGGGUAAAAACUUUCCUUUUUCCAGCGCUGGGCGGGAGCUCUCCUCCUCCGAUCCUCUUUCUCUCCGCCCAUUGGCUGAAUGCGCACGCGCGGCAAGAGCUGGGCGCACAUUCAGCCGGUCGCAUAGAAAAGCAUUCACAAUGCUUUCCUAUGGACGCUGGCGUGCUCUCACUGUGAAAAUCACAGUGAGAAGCACACAAGCGCCUCUAGCGGCUGUCAAUUAGACAGCCGCUAGAGGCUUUGGGGGAAG
rnacentral:lncRNA from 1 species